GGCGGGCGGCGGGGCCGACAUGGAGGGCGAGGCGGUCAGCGGGGCGCAGCUCAUCGCCCAGGGGCUCAGGGCGCAAAAUAUCGAAUACAUGUUUGGCAUUGUUGGUAUUCCAGUCACUGAAAUCGCAAUUGCAGCCCAGGCGGUUGGAAUAAAAUAUGUGGGAAUGAGAAACGAACAAGCUGCCUGUUAUGCUGCAUCUGCUAUUGGAUAUUUGACUGGCAGACCAGGAGUAUGUCUUGCAGUGUCUGGUCCAGGUUUCUUACACACCCUUGGUGGGAUGGCAAAUGCAACCAUUAACUGCUGGCCUUUGAUUGUUAUUGGAGGUUCUUCUGACAGAAAUCAGGAAACCAUGGGAGCUUUCCAAGAAUUCCCACAGGUUGAAGCUGGCAGACUGUACAACAAGCUGUCUGUCCGCCCAAGCUGCCUGGAAGUUAUUCCUGCAGUUAUUGAAAAGGCUGUAAGAACCAGUAUGUAUGGUCGUCCAGGUUCCUGCUAUAUUGACAUACCCGGGGAUUUUGUGAAUCUUCAGGUGAAUAAGAGCGCUGUCAAGUAUGUGGAAUGCUGCCUGCCACCUCCCAUCAGCAUGGCUGAACACUCUGCUGUAUCCAAAGCAGCCUCUGUCAUUGCUCUUUCCAAGCAGCCUCUGCUCAUCAUUGGCAAAGGUGCUGCUUAUUCACAUGCUGAAAACAACAUCAGAAAGUUGGUGGACCUUUGUGGACUGCCUUUUUUGCCUACGCCAAUGGCAAAAGGAGUAGUUCCUGAUAACCAUCCAAAUUGUGUAGCUGCAGCAAGAUCAACGGCAUUACAGCAUGCUGAUGUAAUCAUCUUGCUUGGUGCAAGGUUGAAUUGGAUUUUGCAUUUUGGUCUUCCACCAAGGUAUCGACAGGAUGUAAAGGUUAUUCAGAUUGAUAUUUGUGCAGAAGAGCUGGGGAAUAAUGUAAGGCCAGCUGCAACUUUAUUAGGUGACAUAAACGCCGUGACUGAGCAGCUCCUACAAGAAUUCAGCAAAAGAUCAUGGAAAUACCCUUCUAAUUCAGAGUGGUGGCAGAAGCUAAGAGGGAAAAUAAAGAACAACGAGGAAAGAUCAAAGGGAUUAGCAUUACAGAAAUCUCUGCCUAUGAAUUAUUAUACAGUCUUUCAUCACAUCAGAGAACUGAUACCCAAGGACUGCAUUUUAGUAAGUGAGGGAGCAAACACCAUGGACAUUGGACGAACUAUGCUUCCAAAUUUCUAUCCCCGUCAAAGGCUUGAUGCAGGUACUUUUGGAACCAUGGGAGUGGGGCUGGGUUUUGCCAUAGCAGCUGCAAUGGUAGCCAGAGACCACACACCUGGAAGGCGAGUUAUCUGCAUAGAAGGGGAUAGUGCUUUUGGAUUUUCUGGCAUGGAGGUGGAGACUAUCUGCAGAUACAACCUGCCAAUCGUGGUUAUCGUAGUAAACAACAAUGGGAUUUACACUGGUCUGGAUGCAAAUUCCUGGGAGGAGAUGUUAAAGUUUGGUGACCCUGCUACAUGUGUACCUCCUGUUUCUCUCCUGCCAAAUGCACACUAUGAGAAAAUUAUGUCUGCCUUUGGAGGUAAAGGAUACUUUGUUAAAACACCGGAAGAGUUGCAGAAUGCUCUGAAAGCAAGUGUGACUGACAAACAAACACCUUCUCUUAUAAAUGUAAUGAUUGAUCCACAAUCUGAGAGAAAGAAACAGGAAUUUCCCUGGCUGACUCGUUCUAACCUGUAGUAGAAGAGGAAGAUGAUGGUGGUGCAAGGCAGCGCGUUAAACGAAAUCGAAUUGUUUUCUGGAAGUGGAACUGAUACAACUGUAUUUUGCAUGGGUGUUGGAACAAAGUGAGGUUUUAGAACUGCUGUUAGAGGAAUCUUUAAAUGCUGAAAUUAGGUAAUUUUAAAAUGAGAAAGUCACACAUGACUGUACCGGGCCUUCUAGCAGAUUGUACGCAAACACUGAUGAUAAAAUUAUAUACUUCUUUUACUCAGAGUAAUACCCAUUAUUUGUGAAUUAAAAUCUUGAAUGGUUCUGGAUGAACAGGAUAAGGUGAGGGUUUUAUGCUGUCUGAAACAUAGAAGUGUUUGAUAGUCUGCAAUUAUAGUAGCUUGAUUUUUAACCAACCACACUACUGUUCUACUUGUUAAAAACUUUGUCCUCUAAGGAUCAAACCAAAGCAUCUUGUUGUGAAUAAUUCCUGAUUGGCCCCAUUAUGCAUCAAAGCCUGUUGCAUUGGUAGUAGCUUCCUGAUUUUACAGAUUGAUUUUUGAGCUCUUCUGAAUGUAGAAGUAAUGUAUUAAAAAUACAGACUUACUCAAGGGCUAAGCUUCUGCCUGCUGAAUUUGUUUUUACUAACUGGAACUUGUGGUGUUUGUAGGAAAGAAAAUCCUGGAUUUUUGUUUGAAGCUUAGCUCUUCACAGACACCACCAUGUCUGUAGGCUGAAAAUGUGGUCAUAUUUAUUAGUGAGAUUUCCAGUAUGAAUAGAUUGUAAAUCUUUAUAAUCAGAAGCAUUUUAAAUAAAACAUUACCACCACCAUCACUGAAAUAUCAACAGUGACACCAAAAAAGACCACAAAAAAAAACCCAGAUGAAAGCAAAAUUUAAAAAAAUCCCUCACCAGAGCAACAAUGGUAAAAACAGUUAGACUGGAGCGUAAUAUUCAUUUUGGCUGGCAUCACAGAGCAACCACCAGUGUCUGUGCUGUGACUGGCUAAUUGUAUAAUAGAGGUUCUUCGUGUAGCUGUGUAGAAAUCUUCUGGAGUCCCACCUGCACUGUAAUGCAGAGGUAGCAUUUAAAGCAGAUAUUUGGCCUGCCUGGCAUUCUGUCUACUGUGUUUUCAUUUGUUGCUGCAUCUGACAAUCUGACUUAGAGUUCAGACUGUAAAAAUGAAGUAGCUCUUUGUCUAUGCUUCUGUCAUGACCUAUAGCAGCUACUGUGCAGGGUACUCUAAACAGAUUACUUUAUAUUUACAUCUGUUCUUAAAUGCACAAGUUCUUUGUUACAUGCACAAAAGGGAGUAUUCUGUCUCUGAUUUUGCUUUUGCUUGCUUUAUUUUCUCUAAUUCCAUUGUCAGUAAGUGUUAGUUAUCUAGUAGAAGGCACUUGAUGACCUAAGGAGAGAGAGGACUGGGCUGGCAAGGGAUUGUGGCCUACAGUCAGGUUUGUUGCAAAAGGCUUGGCUUAUUGGGUCUGGCACUUUGGUUCGGGUCUGGCCCAAGCCAUGGGUUACAGUUAGGCAGAGGAAUGUAGGAAUGUCUCUGCACACUAGUACAGGGAGAUAAUACCUGAAAGAAAUAAUAUCUGAAAUAAUCUGAGGUGCAAAAGGAUAAAAUCCUAGAAUGGAUGCAACUCACAAAAAAAUGUAAGGCUGCUGAGUUGCUGUGUUCUCUGGGGUACUCUGCAAGGAAGGUGGAAAAUUUUGAAUCUUGAUAUUUGUCUCAUUCUUCUUCUUGUCUCACAAAUUAAUUUUGAUAUGUUUCAGUGAUUAAACACAAUCCGUUAUGAUGGUAUAAAAUAUCUCUAAGAGUUAAUGCUGGAACUGACCUCAGGGGAAAUAAUUUGCAUUGGAUAAGCAAAUGUA